rnacentral:rRNA from 1 species
CUCGGAGUUUGAUCCUGGCUCAGAUUGAACGCUGGCGGCAUGCCUUACACAUGCAAGUCGAACGGCAGCACGGGUGCUUGCACCUGGUGGCGAGUGGCGAACGGGUGAGUAAUACAUCGGAACGUACCUUAUCGUGGGGGAUAACGCAGCGAAAGUUGCGCUAAUACCGCAUACGCCCGUGAGGGGGAAAGCGGGGGACCGUAAGGCCUCGCGCGAUUAGAGCGGCCGAUGUCUGAUUAGCUUGUUGGUG